rnacentral:rRNA from 1 species
UACGAAGGGUGCAAGCGUUACUCGGAAUUACUGGGCGUAAAGCGUGCGUAGGUGGUUGUUUAAGCCUGUUGUGAAAGCCCUGGGCUCAACCUGGGAACUGCAGUGGAAACUGGACGACUAGAGUGUGGUAGAGGGUAGCGGAAUUCCUGGUGUAGCAGUGAAAUGCGUAGAGAUCAGGAGGAACAUCCAUGGCGAAGGCAGCUACCUGGACCAACACUGACACUGGGGCACGAAAGCGUGGGGAGCAAACAGG